AGCUCCAAUAGCGUAUAUUAAAGUUGUUGCGGUUAAAAAGCUCGUAGUUGGAUCUCGGCAGGUAGGGGGCGGUUCGUUUCUGACGGCACUGCCCCAUUUACCUGUGUUUAUGCAAGAGGUCUCAAGGUGGCUUUAAUCGGCUGUCUUGGAACGCUUGCAGUUUUACUUUGAAAAAAUUAGAGUGCUCAAAGCAGGCUACAAAGCUUGAAUAUUUGUGCAUGGAAUAAUGGAAUAGGAAGUCGUUUCUAUUUUUUUGGUUUUCGGAAAUUGACUUAAUGAUUAAUAGGGACAGCCGGGGGCAUUAGUACUCAGACGACAGAGGUGAAAUUCUUGGACCGUUUGAGGACUAACUACUGCGAAAGCAUUUGCCAAGAGUGUUU
rnacentral:rRNA from 1 species